UUUCCCAGCGUGCAUUGCACCUUCUGCAGCCGCCAUAUUGCCUUCACCUAAACGCGCUAGCUAGAACGGCUCCUUCUCCCAAUUAAAAAUUGUUGCAGUGAUGACUCAGACGGUUCAGACCAAUGGGUUCAGCCGCUCAGUAAGACCUGGGAGCUGAGUCUGUACGAGCUGCAGAGAACACCACAGGAGGCGAUCACAGAUGGACUGGAGAUCGCCGUGUCUCCCAGGUCUCUGCACAGCGAACUCAUGUGUCCGAUCUGUCUAGACAUGUUGAAGAACACAAUGACCACCAAAGAAUGUCUGCACCGCUUCUGCGCUGAUUGUAUCAUCACAGCUUUGAGAUCCGG